GGUUCUUAGCCAAGCGGUUAUCGCAACAGAGUUCAAAUCUGUUGGACCGCCACAGACUCUAAAUCUGAAGGCCCCCGCAACAGAAUUGAAAUCUGUUGGUGCAGGUUCGAAACCUGCCGAAUGUCA